rnacentral:rRNA from 1 species
UACGAAGGGGGGCUAGCGUUGUUCGGAAUUACUGGGCGUAAAGCGUGCGCAGGCGGCUUCUCAAGUCAGGGGUGAAAGCCCAGAGCUCAACUCUGGAAUUGCCUUUGAGACUGAGUGGCUUGAGUACGAGAGAGGUGAGUGGAAUUCCCAGUGUAGAGGUGAAAUUCGUAGGAUAUUGGGAAGGAACACCGGUGGCGAAGGCGGCGACCUGGUCCGACACUGACGCUGAGGCGCGAAAGCGUGGGGAGCAAACAGG